rnacentral:rRNA from 1 species
AUUGACCGCUGGCGGCAGGCCUAACACAUGCAAGUCGAACGAGUGGCGGACGGGUGAGUAAUGUCUGGGAAACUGCCCGAUGGAGGGGGAUAACUACUGGAAACGGUAGCUAAUACCGCAUACUAUCGGAUGUCCUCAGAUGGGAUUAGCUUGUAGGUGAGGUAACGGCUCACCUAGGCGACGAUCCCUAGCGGGUCUGAGAGGAUGACCAGCCACACUGGAACUGAGACACGGUCCAGACUCCUACGGGAGGCAGCAGUGGGGAAUAUUGCACAAUGGGCGCAAGCCUGAUACAGCCAUGCCGCGUGUAUGAAGAAGGCCUUCGGGUUGUAAAGUACUUUCAGCGGGGAGGCGUUACCCGCAGAAGAAGCACCGGCUAACUCCGUGCCAGCAGCCGCGGUAAUAC